rnacentral:ncRNA from 1 species
UAUCUUCAGGGGGAGGUGUAAGUCCUCACCGGCGGUAAAGCCCGCGAACCGAUAAAUUCGGUUGACUUGGUUAGAUUCCAAGGCCGACAGUUACAGUCUGGAUGGAAGAAGAUG